AAUGGGAUAGCUGGGUCAAAUUGUGGUUCCAUUCCAGUUUUCAGAAGAAUUUCCAUAAUGCUUUUCAGAGUGGUUUCACCAAUUUGCAGUCCCAACAGCAAU
rnacentral:pre_miRNA from 1 species